rnacentral:rRNA from 1 species
CCUACGGGUGGCAGCAGUGAGGAAUAUUGGUCAAUGGACGAGAGUCUGAACCAGCCAAGUAGCGUGAAGGAUGACUGCCCUAUGGGUUGUAAACUUCUUUUAUAUGGGAAUAAAAUGUUCCACGUGUGGGAUUUUGUAUGUACCAUAUGAAUAAGGAUCGGCUAACACCGUGCCAGCAGCCGCGGUAAUACGGAGGAUCCGAGCGUUUUCCGGAUUUAUUGGGUUUAAAGGGAGCGUAGGUGGAUUGUUAAGUCAGUUGUGAAAGUUUGCGGCUCAACCGUAAAAUUGCAGUUGAAACUGGCAGUCUUGAGUACAGUAGAGGUGGGCGGAAUUCGUGGUGUAGCGGUGAAAUGCUUAGAUAUCACGAAGAACUCCGAUUGCGAAGGCAGUUCACUGGACUGCAACUGACACUGAGGCUCGAAAGUGUGGGUAUCAAACAGGAUUAGAUACCCCAGUAGUC